UCAGGAUGAACGCUAGCGGCAGGCUUAACACAUGCAAGUCGAGGGGCAUCGGGAGUAGCAAUACUGCCGGCGACCGGCGCAAGGGUGCGUAACGCGUGAGCAACAUGCCCGUAUCAGGGGGGAUAAUCCAUGGAAACGUGGUCUAAUACCCCAUAGUAAUUAUGUAAGGCAUCUUAUAUAAUUUAAAGCUUUGGUGGAUACGGAUUGGCUCGCGUGACAUUAGCUAGAUGGUAAGGUAACGGCUUACCAUGGCUACGAUGUCUAGGGGUUCUGAGAGGAAGGUCCCCCCACACUGGAACUGAGACACGGUCCAGACUCCUACGGGAGGCAGCAGUGAGGAAUAUUGGACAAUGGAUGGAAAUCUGAUCCAGCCAUGCCGCGUGCAAGGGAAGACGGCCCUAUGGGUUGUAAACUGCUUUUGUAUGGGAGCAAUAAGGGCUACGCGUAGUCCGAUGAGAGUACCAUACGAAUAAGCACCGGCUAACUCCGUGCCAGCCGCCGC
rnacentral:rRNA from 1 species